GGAGGAAACGCACACGAAUGUCCGACUUGCUUCGCAAGCUGGACUAAUUCUUCAAACUUGGAUCCAGAGCUAACUACAAUGUUAACCUCCCUGUGGAGGGUGUUAAUGACUGUCUGCUAGACAACUCUCAAGUCUGCAGUCUUCUCUAUAAUUCCAUCGGCCAUUGCAUGGACAUAACAUGAAAGUUCUAUGCUAAAAAUAUUUUUCCCUGUUGAUCGGAUGAGAUAUUCAAAUUUUCUGAAAAGAGGUGCAGAGUUGUUAGAGUGGGGAGAAGGCCUGCAACACACAGCACUAAAGAGCAGCAAAGAACAGGUGGAAGACCACAGCCACCCCAGGCAGAGAGACACAAGGGCAACUAUCCACAUUGAGGUAGGUCGUCGGUGAAGCACAGGAGCAGCAGCCCCCAGGCCAAGAGAGACAGUGCGAGACAUAAAGCACUGAACCCCCACCGCCAUAUCCCACCAUGUGAGCAAAGCUUGAUACCCAGUCUCCUGGUGACCCAGGCCUCACACCAACCCCAGCAGCAAGACCAAGCAGCACCAAGCAUGGGAACUCCUGUAGAUCCCCCAACUCACCGGGCAGGCACCAGCCCACCACGGCAGCUGGAACUCGGAUACCAUCCCCCCUGGUGAGCUAGCCCCUGGGAAGUCAAAGAGGGAGCGAUGACCUGGCAGCCCACAGCCAACCCAAUACAUCCCUGGAAGCAAUAGGCCACCUGAAGGAAACCCACCAAUCUGGGACUUUUGCCGAGCACCAACAUAAAAAAUAUCACACCAAGGGAGGCAGCUUCUUUAAACAUUUUACACACAAUAAUGAAAAGCUCCUCAUCAUCUGACAAGAGGUCUUCAUAUGGGAGGUCAUCAAGGUCCACAUCACCAGGCAUGAUAAAUCUUAAAAAAUUGAAACAAAAAACACUAAAAAACAUCCAGAAAAAGCUCCUCGUCAGCAGAAGCAAGG